rnacentral:rRNA from 1 species
UUUAGAGUUUGAUCCUGGCUCAGAUUGAACGCUGGCGGCAGGCCUAACACAUGCAAGUCGAGCGGCAGCGACAACAUUGAACCUUCGGGGGAUUUGUUGGGCGGCGAGCGGCGGACGGGUGAGUAAUGCUUGGGAAUAUGCCUUAUGGUGGGGGACAACAGUUGGAAACGACUGCUAAUACCGCAUGAUGUCUACGGACCAAAGUGGGGGACCUUCGGGCCUCACGCCAUAAGAUUAGCCCAAGUGGGAUUAGCUAGUUGGUGAGGUAAUGGCUCACCAAGGCGACGAUCCCUAGCUGGUUUGAGAGGAUGAUCAGCCACACUGGGACUGAGACACGGCCCAGACUCCUACGGGAGGCAGCAGUGGGGAAUAUUGCACAAUGGGCGCAAGCCUGAUGCAGCCAUGCCGCGUGUGUGAAGAAGGCCUUCGGGUUGUAAAGCACUUUCAGUAAGGAGGAAAGGUUAAGUGU